rnacentral:tRNA from 1 species
GCCUGGGUGGCUCAGUCGGUUGAGCGUCCGGCUUCAGCUCGGGUCAUGAUCUCACAGUUCGUGGGUUCGAGCCCCGCACUGGGCU